UACGUAGGGGGCAAGCGUUGUCCGGAUUUAUUGGGCGUAAAGCGCGUGUAGGCGGUCCGGUAAGUCCGCUGUGAAAGUCGGGGGCUCAACCCUCGAAUGCCGGUGGAUACUGUCGGGCUAGAGUACGGAAGAGGCGAGUGGAAUUCCUGGUGUAGCGGUGAAAUGCGCAGAUAUCAGGAGGAACACCAAUUGCGAAGGCAGCUCGCUGGGACGUUACUGACGCUGAGACGCGAAAGCGUGGGGAGCAAACAGG
rnacentral:rRNA from 1 species